CAGCCGCCGCGGGAAUACAGAGGGUGCGAGCGUUAAUCGGAUUUACUGGGCGUAAAGCGUGCGUAGGCGGCUUUUUAAGUCGGAUGUGAAAUCCCUGAGCUUAACUUAGGAAUUGCAUUCGAUACUGGGAAGCUAGAGUAUGGGAGAGGAUGGUAGAAUUCCAGGUGUAGCGGUGAAAUGCGUAGAGAUCUGGAGGAAUACCGAUGGCGAAGGCAGCCAUCUGGCCUAAUACUGACGCUGAGGUACGAAAGCAUGGGGAGCAAACAGGAUUAGAUACCCGCGUAGUCCCUGUCUCUUAUAU
rnacentral:rRNA from 1 species